rnacentral:tRNA from 1 species
UAGCUCAGCUGGGAGAGCGCUUGCAUGGCAUGCAAGAGGUCAGCGGUUCGAUCCCGCUUAGCUCCACCA